UACGGGGGGGGCAAGCGUUGUUCGGAAUUACUGGGCGUAAAGAGCUCGUAGGCGGCUUAGUAAGUCGGGUGUGAAACCUCCAGGCUCAACCUGGAGACGCCACCCGAUACUGCUGUGGCUAGAGUCCGGUAGGGGAGCGUGGAAUUCCUGGUGUAGCGGUGAAAUGCGCAGAUAUCAGGAGGAACACCAGCGGCGAAGGCGGCGCUCUGGGCCGGUACUGACGCUGAGGAGCGAAAGCGUGGGGAGCAAACAGG
rnacentral:rRNA from 1 species